UUUAUUCACUUCCUCUUGAAAUGACAGUUGAGUGCAAACAUCAGCUUCAUCUCCGUCACAGAUGGUCACAGUGAUAUGAGAUGCAAAAUCUUGUCAAAUGUAGUUUUGAGAAAUUCCUUCACUCUGUGGAAGUCAUGAUCUGCCAUCUUCUCCUUUGUUGUCUGACAGGAGUAUGUCUGGGUCUUGAGGUCCGUCAGUCUCACUCUGACACUUUCACUAAACCAGGAGAUAAAGUGCAGAUCUUCUGCACCCAUGAUAAAACUGACUACAGACUGAUGUUCUGGUACCAGCGCUCACCAGGAGACACAACCAUGAAACUGAUUGGAUAUUUGAGGUUUGGAACUGCUACAAAGGAAGAGGCAUAUAAGGAACAUUUCAACAUCACAGGAGAUUUAAGUGGCGAUAAAGCAAAGAAUGGCUCUCUUACAGUCAAAAUAACUGGACCUGAGCACAGUGCAGUUUAUUACUGUGCAGCCAGUGAUGCACAGUGACUCUAGCUUCUUUCUCCUUUAAACAAAAACCAACUCUUAUCGCAAUUUAUGGUUUUAUAUUAGACCUCAAACAGACUCCUCCCAGCUGCAUUUGCAAUGGAGCCUUCAUGUCUGCCAAUUUUAUUCACUUCCUCUUGAAUUGACAGUUGAGUGCAAACAUCAGCUUCAUCUCCGUCACAGAUGGUCACAGUGAUAUGAGAUGCAAAAUUUUGUCAAAUGUAGUUCUGAGAAAUUCCUUCACUCUGUGGAAGUCAUGAUCUGCCAUCUUCUCCUCUGUUGUCUGACAGGUAUAAUGAUUUAUCAAGGAAUUAACUCAUGUGUAGUGAAAUAUUCCUUGAUGAUUUAUCACAAUUUAACAGUUCUUUUAAUACUUUUCUUUUCACCCAGGAGUCUGUCUGGGUCUUGAGGUCCGUCAGUCUCACUCUGACAUUUUCACUAAACCAGGAGAUAAAGUGCAGAUCUUCUGCAGCCAUGAUAAAACUGACUACAGGCAGAUGCUCUGGUACCAACGCUCACCAGGAGACAGAGCUAUGAAACUAAUUGGAUAUUUGUAUUGGAAAGAUGAGAAAAUGGAGAAAGCAUUUAAUAAUACGUUUAGAAUCUUUGGAGAUUUGGGUGGAGAUAAAGCAAAGAAUGGCUCUCUUACAGUCCAAAUAACUGGACCUGAGCACAGUGCAGUUUAUUACUGUGCAGCCAGUGAUGCACAGUGACUCUAGCUUCUUUCUCUGUUAUACAAAAACCAACUCUUAUCACAAUAUAUGGUUUUAAAUGAGACCUCAAACAGACUCCUCCCACCUGAAAAUUCAGUGAGGCUUUGAUCUCAAUGAACUUAUAGUGGGGUUUUUAAUGACUUCCUCUUCCUCUUUAAAGGUGACCUGAGUACAGAAAUCAACUAAA